AUGUGUCCAACUCUGCUCACAGCAGGUAUUUCACUGGGGGUUCAGAUCCAUCAGUCUCCCUCUGCUGUCAUCGGAAAGGCCGGUGGUAAUGUUCAACUUUCCUGCACACAUGGACAAAGUAACUACAGAGUGAUGCUGUGGUACCAACACACACCUGGAGACAGAGCACUGAAACUUAUUGGACAUGGAUAUGCACAGUUCAGUAAUAACAGCGUGGAAGAGCCGUUUAGAAAACACUUCAAAUUAGCUGGAGAUCUGAGUGGAGACAACAAAAAUGGUUCACUUUCCAUAAUCAAUCUGAAAGCACUUGAACACAGCGCAGUGUACUUCUGUGCUGCAAGAGAGGCACAGUAUGUCAAACCUUCAUCUGCCCUUAACAAAAACCUCUUUACCCCUCCACUCUGAAUGUAGGUCAAAUAGGAUGGUCUACCUAUAUUUUUACAAUAAGGCAUGAACUAAAUAAGUUUUAAUAGUAAAAUGUUGUAACAGCCUGAUGCAACUAUGCUCAGUAAAUGACCCUUGAUUGUAAUUGUUGUAAUUCAGCAAAAAGAAAAGCAGAGCCUGAAUGAAACAAAGUUUUAGUGUCAACUUAAGCUUUGCUAUCUCUGUUAUCUCUACAUCACUUCCUGCCCCUCCUUCUGAUCCACAAAACACAGCAGAGACUCAGGCUGGUUCUUCACAUUCAACAUGAUGCCAUCUCAACUCAUCGUUUCCAUCAUCACUUUGUUCUGGGUUAGAGGAGUUUAUCUCAGUAAAGAAAAACAAGUAUUUCAGACUCCAACUGAGCUGUUGGUGAAACCAAAAGAUGGAGUCAACUUGAGCCUCACACAUAAAAUCCCGAGCUAUGACACUGUUCUCUGGUAUCAGCGCUCACCAGGAAACACUUCCCUAAAGCUCAUCGGCUACAUGUAUUAUAAAACUCCUAAGGUUGAGUCAGAAUUUCAAAUUCACUUCAAUGUGAGUGGAGACGGAGAGAAAACAGCUUAUCUUCACAUCCUGAACCCGAGACACCCUGAAGAAAGUGGAGAAUAUUUUGGAGCAGCACGUAUAUACACAGCAAUAAAGACAGUGACUCUCUCAUACAAAAACCUCCACAAUGAUCCAGCAGAGAACAGCACACCAACAGGAAACCACUGGAACCACCUCACAGUAUCAAAGUUAUUCAACUGGUUCAUUAGAAUCUAUUUAUUUGUUCCUUUUAGCAUUGCACUGAAGUGAAGUUGACAUUAAAAGUAUUAAAAGACAAUAAUAAAGAUCAAGAUAAGAUACAUUUACAAUUCAUUUUACAGGCUUUGAUUACAUUAUAUUUUGUAAUGAUGCCAACAAAGUCACAUAUUAAAGGUUGUCUCUGCUUUGCUCUCUCCUCUGUGCAGAUAAAGUCAAAAAGAUAUAUUGAGUCAUUUCAAAGUCAUGGGUGAUGAAGUUCACUGCAUUGCAACUUGAACUUACAGGACAAUUUCAGAACCAGUUUUGAUUCAAGACAAACUUUUGCUAUUUAAGAUCACAGGAACAUUUUAUGUAUUUUUUUAUGUUUUCUUCUGCCAGUUGCAAGGAAAAAAAGUUACCUUUGGUCUAAUAAAAUAUCCAAAUAUGAACCAUAACCCAAAUAUAUUCAAUUUACCAACACAAGAAAUCCAUGCAACUGAAAAUAUAACAAAUGAUGAAUUGAAAUCAAAACACUUGCUGGUUAAUUU
rnacentral:lncRNA from 15 species